UGGGAGAGAAGAAAGGAAAAUUUUGAUUAGGACACUAACAGGUGGGACCCACAUGUCAGGAGAGAUGGAAAGGGCAAAGGGGAUCUACUGCAGUACGUCUCCCUAUAAUCCAAAAACCGUGGAAGGGGAUUCCCCAGUAAGGUAAUAAAGGGGAAUGGGAGAAAUCAAUCCGCUGGAGAUGCUCUUGCUCCCUUACUACAUAACUUUUGUGAUCAAAGUUUGUGUUGUUAGAUUCAUAUUCAAAAGUACUUACAUAAUUGUUUGUAUCACG
rnacentral:lncRNA from 1 species